AGCUGUUUCAGCACAGGUGACUGCAGUUAAAAAUUAAGUCCAGGAGCAGAGCAUUGUAUCCCUCCUGGAGAGGGUCAUGUUGGGAGGUGUUAGGUACGGUGUCCCAGCAAUCAGCAUGCAGAUGGUCAGAAUCCUAAAAGUGAAUUCCCAGCGUUCAAAAUCCCAACAAAUUUUGGAACCUCAAGGUCUGGAAAAUUUUGGAGGAAAGCAAGAAUACAGUCACCCACAGAGAAACCAUCUGGGACAUUUGAAUAGACUUUUCCAUUAUUUCUCCAUAUUUAUUUCAAUUUAAGUAUGUUCUUUCUUUGCAACUGAAUAUAAGGUGGUAGCGCCAAAGAUAUUUUCAAAAUUUAUUUUUCUAUGGUUUCUUACAAAUAAAUGUUGUUGAU